AUGAGCAUCGGAAAAGCCCGGCCCGGAGGCCCGGCGGAGCGGCACCCCCCGACCCGACCGCGGGCGGCAGCCGGCGGUGGGCGGAGCCGCGACACCCGGAUGUGCGACCGGCGGCAGCCGCUGACUCACGGGCCGCUCCCUCACAACCGCCGCGCAGGCGCCAAGGAGAGGCAGAUGGGAGCGAAAUGCUGUGAGAUAAGGCAGGAUUCCAGACUGCUCAAGAUGAGUCAAACAUGCCAAACUCCAGGAUGGGGGGGUGAACUUAAGAUGCCCAAUUCAGAAGCAAAGAGUUGA
rnacentral:lncRNA from 1 species